UAUAAGAUGGUCUCUUUGUUGGCUUUGUAGGAGGCUUCCAUCUCCACUGGGACCCUUUGUGAGCUCAGAGGCUGUUCCAUUUCUUCUUUAUCUUCCCAGGAUCUAGCAAGUUCUGGAUGUAUAGAAGCAUCAUAAGCAUCCCAAGAACUGAACCUAUAUGAUACGAAGUUCAAGCAUGUUUAUAGUAAGAUAGUAUGAUUACAUUAAGAUAAAACACUUCUCAAGUGUCUACAUGUCCCAGAAGGGGAAUUUUUUGGAGGUGGCCACUUCUUCGGAAUAGUCUGACGCCAUCAGGCCUCUGAAGCAAGGGGAGGGGGAAGAGAAAAAAGCUGAAACACAAGGUUCAUCUGGUUGAAAAAAAACACUGGGAGAACCAUAAGGAAAGGGAAGUGAGUGGUUGCAGUGGAAUCCUAAGAAAAAUGUCAUUUUUUUCAGCAUGGUGAGUCACCACGAAAUGCAACUCUUGCCCAGCCAGCUGGCAAACUCCAAGGACCUUCUUUGAGUGGAGCUGUGUUAGAUGCUAAGGUGAUGGACCAGAGAGAAAAGAAGAAAAGGCAGGAUCAGAAGGGUGACAAACAACAUUUCAGGAUAAGCAUAUUGGUGAGUCCAAGUGAUGGUCUAGAAAUAAGAGUAUCUACAAGGAAAGCUCACAACAAAGCACUGAGACAAACUGGAGACAAAUCUUCCACAGAUAAGAGAAAGUUAUAUCAUUUAAAGUACCAGUUACCCGGAAAAAAAUAUCCCAGUGUACAACCCACGAGAAUGCAUGGUAUAAAAAGAUGGAAUGACCAGCAAUGUCAUUCUGGAGCAAUUUCAAGAACAUUCAAGGCUAAAAGUCCGAGCAAUUUUAAUAAAUGUUACAUGUGUUAGGCUAAGUUUUCAGAGUCAGUGUUUUGAAAGUUGAAUGGUUAAAAAAUAAUAACUUAUCUCUGGAGAAAGGAACAUAGCAGAUGAGCCUGGAGUGCUGACACCAGAAGAAUAGUUGAACUCAUAAAUCUUUGGAUGUGACACCGGAAAGACUAUUUCCAAUGAAAGAGGCAUAUUCCCUAAGAACUGAAUCAGCUCCAAGAAGGCCAGACUGACACUGACAUGGAAAGAGAGAGCCCAUGACAAUUGUUUCCCACAGCCUUGGAAAUGAAGAAAAGCCUUGGGUAUCUAACACUUCAGGGGUCUUCUCUGGUGGAAGGAAGUGCAGUGGAUGACCUAAAAAAUGAUGUUGUUUAUAUAAGCCUCAUAUCAGGGAAAGGGUAAUCUUAUAGACAUGGAUUCAGGAUAGUAAAAAACAAUAUGAUGGUUGUCUAUCCAACCAGAGUUGAAUGGUCCAGUUGGUCAUGAUGUGUUGUUGUUCAUUUUAUAUACUGUUGAACUCAGUAUGCUGAUAUUUUGUUUAUAAUAUCUGCAUCUUUGUCAUGAAGGAUACUGGUCUACAGCUUUAUUUUCUUGUAAUACCUUUGUCUGGUCUUUUUAUCUGGGUAAUGCUGGCCUUAAAACAUUAGCUGAGAGGUAUUCUCUUCUUUUUGGAAGAGUUUUGUAGAAUUGGCAGUAUUCCUUUCUUAAAUGUUAGUAGAAUUCACCAAUGAAUCCAUCUGGGAGUAGAAUUUUCUGUGUGGGAAGAUUUUUUUUUUUUUACUAGAAAUCACAUUACUGUGGUUGAUAUUAAGCUAUUAUAUUUAUUUUUAAAUUAGGUUUUCUAGUUUGAGUCAUUCAAGGAAUGUGUCCAUUUAUUCUUAGUUGUAGAAAUCACUGGUGUGAGGUUGUUCAAAAUAUUAUCUUAUUAACAUUUUAGUAUGUGUAGAAUGUGUGCCAAUGUCACCUCUCUCAAUUUCAAUAUUGACAAUUUUGUAUCCUUUCUUUUACUUUUCUGAUUAGUCUGGUUAAAGAUCUGUCAAUUUUAAAAAAACCUUUUCAAAGAUCAGAAAAAAAUAUUUGGUUUUAAUGCCUUUCUCUAUUUUUUUCUGUACUCUAGUAUACUGAUUUCUGCUCCAAUACUUAUUCAGUCCCCCCCCUUUUUUUUUUUUUACUUACUCUGCAUUUUAUUUGCUCUUAAUUUCCUAGUUUCUUAAGGUUGAAGCUAAGGUCAUUGGCUUUAUACAUUUCUCUGUUUUUCAACAUAGGCAUUAAUGCUAUAAAUUUCCCUCUAACUAUUGUUUAAACUUUAUAUAUAUAUAAAUACAUGUAUUUAUUUAUUUAUAUAAAUUUCAAUAUGUUGUACUUUCAUUUACAUUCAGUUCAAAAUGUUUUCUAAUUUCUUUUUUGCUUCUUUUCUGAUA